GGAUAACCACUGAUAACAUUUUGAGGAGGCAAACCGAAGGUUAUCAUCAGCAGAUGGAAGGAGAAAUGUUUACAGGGGCAUUGGAACUGGGGGGCAAGACUGAGAUCCUGGAGACAGAUGGUAGAGAUGAGAUAAGAACCCACCAACGUGAUUGUUGAUUUGAACAGCCAAGCCAUGGAACCUCUUGAGGAGAAUUCUCUAGAGAGAAGGGAGGUGGCAGGCAACUUGAAACCGCAACUGUAUAUCCUUUCCAGAGACAUUUGUCCUCAGGAGUCUGACCAUUGAAGCCUCCUGCCUGCUCCUGUCUCAUGGCGACGUGCGAUCCACAGCCCUAACUGAGAAUGGCCUCUGGCACUUCCAGGAGCUGCCCAGCUGUUGACAUCAGUGCGAUCCCUUGUAUGUAUUGACUCCAAAGUACAACAAAAAACACGAUUCCAUUCACCCUAAGAA